AAGGUGAAAGAGCCCCGCCCACGUCCGAAUCUCUCCUCCGCGCCCACAGCACGCACAUCGCUGCUCCUUGUAACGUCGGGAAGACGGCUGGCUUUCCCCUCCCGGAGCGAGGGCUCCCCUACCAUGAAAUGUCAGAAACAACGAGAGUGGCGCUGCCGCCGCUUCCAAGAAUGGGCAGAAAGACCUCGCGGAGCCGUUGACAAAGACUCAUUGCAGCUGGCCGCGCUCUCCAUUUGAGUAUUAGAGAGCGGGACUCCCAAGCCGCGGCGGCGCCACAGCCCAUUGGGGUGGACAAUCCAUCAGUUUCUCUUAUGAGAAAUCAAUCCCGUUUAUGAGAGGUGGCAGAAUGCCGAGAGACGGUGGCCCCUGCACUAGUCCCCUCAGUCGGUCUGCGGCCACGUAUGAGAGAUUCCCCUUCUCACUCCUCCAAGUGUGGCCGCUGCACAAGCCAAAAGUCUAUUGGUGAAAUGGAGCCUCCAUAUUCAGAGACAGUACACCUGUCAGGUAGUAGGAAGCAAACCGUGCAAAGGGAUGGUACUGUCUGGGGCAGAAUCCUGGGGCUGAUCUAGCAAGGCAGUUCUUCUGUCUACUGUCUUCCCUUUACAGCCCCGCAUAGAAGUUUCCUUGGCACUUCUAAUUUCUCUCACAGUCUCACUCCUAACCACAUUUUCUCUGAAAUAAUGCCUAUUGGUGAUCUGAAGAGAAGUGGCUUCCCAAUAAGACUGCAGUCUUAUGUGUACAUACUUGGAGAUCCUGCCCUUUCUUGUGACUACCACCAGAGAUGAACAGUGAAGUGGAAGGGAAAUAUACCUUACCAAAACCAUGCCCAAGCAACAAGAACUCGGGUCUAGGCUUUUCCCAUCAUUGUUCUUGCCAUUAAAAUGCUCCAUCAGGAAUCUGACACAAAUUGCCUCCGGUGCGUGUCCUCCUGGAUUUGGCGGCGGAACACUCGCGGGAGUUCCUAGCAUUGGGCGAGAGUUGGGGAAAAGAAAAAAUGGCGGCCACCGGGAGGCAGCGGCAGCGGGACAACCUGGCCUGGCUAGGCCAGGCCGUCCGGGUGGCAGCCUCCAAGACUUUUAACACCUGGAGUGAAAGGUCAAGAGGACACCUUCUCCUUUCCAUAUGUUAAAAUGACCCACUGACUUGGAGCUUAGAGGUGAAAGAUGGAGUCCACUCUGGUGCCCAAAGGAACUGCUUCACGUCAGCUUUACAAAAACUGCCUUAUGUGUUCCAAAUAGUAAUAGUCAUCAUCAUCAUCAUCAUCAUCAUCCCAGGAGAGAGAUGAGUCGACGAAAAACAAUUGGAGAAAAUAACUAAAUACAAGGACCUUCAGAUUGAAACUGAGCAGCUCUGGAAAAAGAAAACAACAGUGAUGCCAAUAGUUGUUGGUGCCCUUGGGGCAGUACCAAAGAACUUGAACACCAUCUCGAGACCCUGGGCAUCAAUAAAAUUACAACACAUCAACUACAGAAGGCCACACUACGUGGGACAGCACAAAUACUAUGACAAUAUCUUUAAUUUUUCUUUAGUUAUCCUAGAUCCUUGGAAAGGGCCCAAUAAUUAAAGUACCAAAUCCAGUCAAUAACAUCUGGCAGACUGUGUGUAAAUAGCAUAAUAAUAAAUCAACUUUAUUUGUUA